rnacentral:tRNA from 1 species
GCCAGCUUAGCUCAGUUGGUAGAGCAACGGUUUUGUAAACCGUAGGUCGUCAGUUCAAAUCUGACAGCUGGCU